rnacentral:rRNA from 1 species
UACGGAGGGUGCAAGCGUUAUCCGGAUUCACUGGGUUUAAAGGGUGCGUAGGUGGGUUGGUAAGUCAGUGGUGAAAUCUCCGUGCUUAACAUGGAAACUGCCAUUGAUACUACUGAUCUUGAAUUUUCUGGAGGUAAGCGGAAUAUGUCAUGUAGCGGUGAAAUGCUUAGAUAUGACAUAGAACACCAAUUGCGAAGGCAGCUUACUACACAGUUAUUGACGCUGAGGCACGAAAGCGUGGGGAUCAAACAGG